rnacentral:rRNA from 1 species
CAGCCGCCGCGGGAAUACGUAGGUGGCAAGCGUUGUCCGGAAUUAUUGGGCGUAAAGGGCUCGCAGGCGGUUUCUUAAGUCUGAUGUGAAAGCCCCCGGCUCAACCGGGGAGGGUCAUUGGAAACUGGGGAACUUGAGUGCAGAAGAGGAGAGUGGAAUUCCACGUGUAGCGGUGAAAUGCGUAGAGAUGUGGAGGAACACCAGUGGCGAAGGCGACUCUCUGGUCUGUAACUGACGCUGAGGAGCGAAAGCGUGGGGAGCGAACAGGAUUAGAUACCCCAGUAGUCCCUGUCUCUUAUAC